rnacentral:rRNA from 1 species
UACGGGGGGGGCAAGCGUUGUUCGGAAUUACUGGGCGUAAAGGGCUCGUAGGCGGCCAACUAAGUCGGAUGUGAAAUCCCCAGGCUCAACUUGGGAACUGCAUCCGAUACUGGAUGGCUUGAAUUCGGGAGAGGGAUGCAGAAUUCCAGGUGUAGCGGUGAAAUGCGUAGAUAUCUGGAGGAACACCGGUGGCGAAGGCGGCAUCCUGGACCGAUAUUGACGCUGAUGCGCGAAAGCCAGGGGAGCAAACGGG